UACGUAGGAGGCUAGCGUUGUCCGGAGUUACUGGGCGUAAAGGGCGCGUAGGCGGCUCAUACAGUCAGAUGUGAAAUUCCUGGGCUUAACCUGGGGGGCUGCAUUUGAUACGUGUGGGCUUGAGUGGGGAAGAGGGUCGUGGAAUUCCCAGUGUAGAGGUGAAAUUCGUAGAUAUUGGGAAGAACACCGGUGGCGAAGGCGGCGACCUGGUCCUUGACUGACGCUGAGGCGCGAAAGCGUGGGGAGCAAACAGG
rnacentral:rRNA from 1 species